GCUGGGUAAGGGGGCACACACCUGUAAUCCCAGUAGCUUGGGAAGCUGAGGCAGGAGGAUCACAAGUUCAAAGCCAGCCUCAGCAAUGGUAAGAUGCUAAGCAACUCAGCGAGAUCCUGUCUCUA
rnacentral:sRNA from 1 species